rnacentral:rRNA from 1 species
CCUACGGGGCGCUGCAGUGGGGAAUAUUGGACAAUGGGCGAAAGCCUGAUCCAGCCAUGCCGCGUGUGUGAAGAAGGCCUUCGGGUUGUAAAGCACUUUCAGUGGGGAAGAAAGCCUUGGGGCUAAUACCCUCGAGGAAGGACAUCACCCACAGAAGAAGCACCGGCUAACUCCGUGCCAGCAGCCGCGGUAAUACGGAGGGUGUGAGCGUUAAUCGGAAUUACUGGGCGUAAAGCGCGCGUAGGCGGUCUGAUAAGCCGGUUGUGAAAGCCCCGGGCUCAACCUGGGAACGGCAUCCGGAACUGUCAGGCUAGAGUGCAGGAGAGGAAGGUAGAAUUCCCGGUGUAGCGGUGAAAUGCGUAGAGAUCGGGAGGAAUACCAGUGGCGAAGGCGGCCUUCUGGACUGACACUGACGCUGAGGUGCGAAAGCGUGGGUAGCAAACAGGAUUAGAUACCCUAGUAGUC